GCCAGCAGCAUACCACCCUGCAUCCCACUGCUGGCUUGCCUCUGAAGCUAAGCAGGGUUGGUCCUGGAUGGGAGACCAGAUGCUGCUGGAA
ensembl:rRNA 5S_rRNA 5S ribosomal RNA